rnacentral:rRNA from 1 species
UGGGGAAUUUUGGACAAUGGGCGAAAGCCUGAUCCAGCAAUGCCGCGUGUGUGAAGAAGGCCUUCGGGUUGUAAAGCACUUUUGUCCGGAAAGAAAUGGCUCUGGUUAAUACCUGGGGUCGAUGACGGUACCGGAAGAAUAAGGACCGGCUAACUACGUGCCAGCAGCCGCGGUAAUACGUAGGGUCCAAGCGUUAAUCGGAAUUACUGGGCGUAAAGCGUGCGCAGGCGGUUGUGCAAGACCGAUGUGAAAUCCCCGAGCUUAACUUGGGAAUUGCAUUGGUGACUGCACGGCUAGAGUGUGUCAGAGGGGGGUUAGAAUUCCCACGUGUAGCAGUGAAAUGCGUAGAGAUGUGGAGGAAUACCGAUGGCGAAGGCAGCCCCCUGGGAUAACACUGACGCUCAUGCACGAAAGCGUGGGGAGCAAACAGGAUUAGAUACCCUGGUAGUCCACG